GACGAACGCUGGCGGCGUGCUUAACACAUGCAAGUCGAGGGUAGCAAUACACUGGCGCAAGGGUGCGUAACGCGUAGAUUAUCUGCCCCAUACACUAACAUAACGCUUGGAAACGGGUGCUAAUAUUAGAUGAGGUGCUUCGGCAUCAAAGUUUCGACGGUAUGGGAUGAGUCUGCGUCUGAUUAGCUAGUUGGUAGUGUAAUGGACUACCAAGGCGACGAUCAGUAGCUGGUCUGAGAGGACGAUCAGCCACACUGGAACUGAGACACGGUCCAGACUCCUACGGGAGGCAGCAGUGAGGAAUUUUGCGCAAUGGACGAAAGUCUGACGCAGCGACGCCGCGUGUGGGAUGAAGGGGCUACGCCCUGUAAACCACUGUUAGAUGUGAAAAAAAGAUGGCUUUGCCGUCCGGGAUUGUAACAUCAAAGAAAGGACUGGCUAACUACGUGCCAGCAGCCGCGGUAAU
rnacentral:rRNA from 1 species